GACGAACGCUGGCGGCGUGCUUAACACAUGCAAGUCGAACGGAAAGGCCCUGCUUUUGUGGGGUGCUCGAGUGGCGAACGGGUGAGUAACACGUGAGUCACCUUCCCUUGACUUUGUGAUAACUUCAGGAAACUGGUGCUAAUACCGGAUAGGAGCUCCUGCUGCAUGGUGGGGUUUGGACAGUUUCGGCGGUUGGGGAUGGAUUCGCGGCUUAUCAGCUUGUUGGUUGGGUAGUGGCUUACCAAGGCUUUGACGGGUAGCCGGCCUGGGAGGUUGACCGGCCACAUUGGGACUGAGAGACGGACCAGACUGCUACGGGAGGCAGCAGUGGGGAAUAUUGCACAAUGGGCGGAAGCCUGAGGCAGCAACGCCGCGUGCGGGAUGACGGCCUUCGGGUUGUAAACCGCUUUCGCCUGUGACGAAGCGUGAGUGACGGUAAUGGGUAAAGAAGCACCGGCUAACUACGUG
rnacentral:rRNA from 1 species